UACGUAGGGGGCAAGCGUUGUCCGGAUUUACUGGGCGUAAAGGGCUUGUAGGCGGUUUGUUAAGUCUGGUGUGAAAUCUCCCGGCUCAACCGGGAGGGGUCAUCGGAUACUGGCAGACUAGAGACGGGUAGAGGAAAGCAGAAUUCCCGGUGUAGCGGUGAAAUGCGUAGAUAUCGGGAGGAAUACCAGUGGCGAAGGCGGCUUUCUGGGCCUGUUCUGACGCUGAGGAGCGAAAGCGUGGGGAGCAAACCGG
rnacentral:rRNA from 1 species